GCACAAGCGGUGGAUGAUGUGGUUUAAUUCGAUGCAACGCGAAAAACCUUACCCACCUUUGACAUGUACGGAACUUGCCAGAGAUGGCUUGGUGCUCGAAAGAGAGCCGUAACACAGGUGCUGCAUGGCUGUCGUCAGCUCGUGUCGUGAGAUGUUGGGUUAAGUCCCGCAACGAGCGCAACCCUUGCCAUUAGUUGCUACGAAAGGGCACUCUAAUGGGACUGCCGGUGACAAACCGGAGGAAGGUGGGGAUGACGUCAAGUCCUCAUGGCCCUUAUAGGUGGGGCUACACACGUCAUACAAUGGCCGGUACAAAGGGUAGCCAACCCGCGAGGGGGAGCCAAUCCCAUAAAGCCGGUCGUAGUCCGGAUCGCAGUCUGCAACUCGACUGCGUGAAGUCGGAAUCGCUAGUAAUCGUGGAUCAGCAUGUCACGGUGAAUACGUUCCCGGGUCUU
rnacentral:rRNA from 1 species